rnacentral:lncRNA from 1 species
CUUUAUAUAACUAUUCCAGCUUUAUUAAAUGAAGAAAGAAGGAUGCAAUUAGAAUGUCACCAUUUUGGGACCCGUAAUGGAUUACUGGCUAUAGGUAUUGAGGAUCAAUAGCUGCUAACACCACAGAAAAAGAGACAAACAGAAAAUAAUAGGCUUCAAAUAGAACACACCAUCUUGCCAAAAUCAUUAAAUUUAUCUGGUCAAAAAAACUUAAAACUUGAUUUUGAUCAAGCCUGUACAUUACUACAAUUUACAGAAAAUACAGAGGACAACAGAACAUCAAAAAAAAGUUUAUGACAUCUUUGAGAAAACUGGAAAAUUGAUAUUAAGGAAUUACUGUUAAUUGUUUAGGUAUGAAAAUAGUAUUAUGUUUACAUUUUUAAAAUUCAUAUCUUUUACAGCAAAUAUUGAAAUAUUUACAUUUGAAAGACUAUGCUAGCUCAGAUAUGCUUUAAAAUUAUAUAUAUAUAAAAGCAUGGGAUAUGAGUAGAGUUGUAAGUGAAACAAGUUUGGCCAUAAUCUGAUAAUGUUGAAGCUGGGUGACAGGUUUGUGGGGAUUUAUUAGAAGUAGUACAAUUGUACUUUUAUAUAUGCUUAAACUUUUUUCAUAGUACAGAGUGAAGAAAAAAAGAAAAAGAAAAGAGUUUAUGGCUUUUAGUUGGUAGUAUUUAAAAAAAGAAAAAAGCAGCAAUGUAAAAACCCUCUAAGGCCAGUUACAAAAUAAUUCAAUACCCUUGCAGUGAAAUGUAUGUCAGCUACAUAUAGGUAUUAUAUGUAACUUGAAAAGAUAUCCAUAAUGUAAUAUUAAACUAAAAAACAAGUGGUAAACAAUAUGUACUGUACAAUGACAUUUUAGCAUGCAUGCGUGCUUUCCCAGUAAGCAUGCACCUACUAAAGUUUUAUGUUUCCUACACUCAUUUAAAAAAUGUACAUUUAAAAAUUUACUAAUUGCAUGUAGCCUUUUAGUAGUUUUCUAUUGGCUUCAAUAUAGAAAAACAUUCUCCUGUCUUUGCGAUAAGAGGUCUGGGUUAAGGAAGUUGGCAGUAUUAGAAGGGAGAAACUGAACCAUGCAAGGUAACAUGAGUAGCAGGAUUUUUUAAAAAAAACAAUUUUAAGGCAAAGAAGUGAAGAAAGAAAAGAAUCAUAAUCCAGGCUAAAGUGGUAUGCUUAGAGGAACAGGUUAAAAGUGGAAUAGGCAAUAGAGAUUAAAUGAAAGGUAUGCAGAGAUUUUAGUGACAAGGUUCAUUUGGAAAAAUGCAAAAAGACACCAACAUUUCCUAACUUCUUCUUUGCUAUCUCCUCCUCAGCGUUCUCCUUAACAGUGUGAAACUCCCAACAUUCAGAGCUGAGUUGACCCUUUACUGGCUGGAGCCGGACUCCAGUUGAGUCCUAUGAGGCUGCCAGAUACACUAUUUGCGUUGGGACACUUCUUGUCCCCUGUAGGAGGGUGGGGAACUGGGCACAAUUAGAUGGAGUUUAAUGAGGGUGACAUUUGCUGAAAGUUAGAGCUUAAAAUCCCAUUAUUACUGUGGAACACACGAUGGGAGGGCAGAAAGCAGUUUUCUGUCAUCUGCAAGGGCAGGGAUACACAGACAAAGAGGGGAAAAUACACAGGGCCUACAAGUUAAAAAAAACUCACCAAACUAGAACAAAAAUAAAUAACUCUGGCCAAUAACAUGUUAGCCAUUUUCUCUAACUACGCUAGAGAAGUUAUCUCAACUCUCUUAUCUCUCUCUGGAGAUAAUAUCUGCUAUCUGAUAAGACAUUUCUUCAUUUUACCUUUCCUCUCAGAUCAUUCAGCUUCCUCUCCAAGUUCUUCAGUACAGACAGCCUCUUUCCUAUACUCUGGGAUGCUCCUAUACCCAGGCCUGGAGUUCUUGGGCAGGAUGGUCAGGAUCAGUAGUUCCAAGACGUGUUCCUUGCUGUGUAUCACUGGUCUCCACCACUGAUGGCAAAGAACCUGAAGCUGGACCCUUGAGGCCCAAUUGGUCUGAAUGCAUUCCUGGGUGAAACAGCUCAGAAGACUGGCUCACUGCAGCAGUGCGUAUGCUUCAGGCUGAUGCUAAGGCAUAACACAUCAUUGUUGAGAUCAGCUCCAAACUGGAACAUAUUUACUGAGUGAAUGG